rnacentral:rRNA from 1 species
CCUACGAGUGGCAGCAGUGAGGAAUAUUGGUCAAUGGGCGCGAGCCUGAACCAGCCAAGUAGCGUGAAGGAUGCCUGCCCUACGGGUUGUAAACUUCUUUUAUAAAGGAAUAAAGUGAGGCACGUGUGCCUUUUUGUAUGUACUUUAUGAAUAAGGAUCGGCUAACUCCGUGCCAGCAGCCGCUGUAAUACGGAGGAUCCGAGCGUUAUCCGGAUUUAUUGGGUUUAAAGGGAGCGUAGAUGGGUUGUUAAGUCAGUUGUGAAAGUUUGCGGCUCAACCGUAAAAUUGCAAUUGAUACUGGCAGUCUUGAGUACAGUUGAGGUAGGCGGAAUUCGUGGUGUAGAGGUGAAAUGCUUAGAUAUCACGAAGAACUCCGAUUGCGAAGGCAGCUUACUAAACUGCCACUGACAUUGAUGCUCGAAAGUGUGGGUAUCAAACAGGAGUAGAUACCCCUGUAGUC